rnacentral:rRNA from 1 species
UACGGGGGGAGCAAGCGUUGUUCGGAUUUACUGGGCGUAAAGGGCUCGUAGGCGGCCAACUAAGUCAGACGUGAAAUCCCUCAGCUUAACUGGGGAACUGCGUCUGAUACUGGAUGGCUUGGAUUCGGGAGAGGAAUGCGGAAUUCCAGGUGUAGCGGUGAAAUGCGUAGAUAUCUGGAGGAACACCGGUGGCGAAGGCGGCAUUCUGGACCGAUAUUGACGCUGAGGAGCGAAAGCCAGGGGAGCAAACGGG